UACGGAGGGUGCGAGCGUUGUCCGGAAUCAUUGGGCGUAAAGGGCGCGUAGGUGGCCCGGUAAGCGGGUGGUGAAAGCUCGGGGCUCAACCCUGAGUCGGCCAUGCGAACUGCUGGGCUUGAGCACUGUAGAGGCAGGCGGAAUUCCGGGUGUAGCGGUGGAAUGCGUAGAGAUCCGGAAGAACACCGGUGGCGAAGGCGGCCUGCUGGGCAGUAGCUGACACUGAGACGCGAAAGCGUGGGGAGCGAACAGG
rnacentral:rRNA from 1 species